rnacentral:rRNA from 1 species
AUGCAUCCCUACAGACUAAAUGCUUUUGGUGCCAAGUCGCAUAUUAAACUCCAAAGCAAGUUCUACGGUCCGUUCAAAGUUCUGCACAAAGUAGGAAAUGUAGCUUAUCAUCUGCUACUCCCAGAAGGGACAAAAAUACAUCCAGUUUUUCAUGUCAGUGAGCUUAAACAACACAUUGGUCCUAUGGUUGUCCCUUGUGAAAAUCUUCCUUUGCUCACGGAGGACGGACACAUCAAGCAAGAACAUGUGCUGGUGUUACAAACGCGACUCAUUCCCAGGAACAACCUGCCGGUGGUCCAGUGGCUUGUGCAGUGGGAAAAUUUCCCUCCCGAGGAUUCUUCCAGGGAAGAUGCAGACUUCAUUAAGCACACUUUCCCUCGCUUCUUUAAGCAGAUUUCGGAAGGCUGGCACCAGGAUAAAUGA